rnacentral:rRNA from 1 species
AUUGAACGCUGGCGGCAGGCUUAACACAUGCAAGUCGAGCGGGGUGAUGGUGCUUGCACUAUCACUUAGCGGCGGACGGGCGAGUAAUGCUUACGAAUCUGCCUAUUAGAGGGGGACAACAUCUCGACAGGGAUGCUAAUACCGCAUACGUCCUCCGGGAGAAAGCAGGGGAUCACUUUGACCUUGCGCUAAUAGAUGAGCCUACGUCGGAUUAGCUAGUUGGUGGGGUAAAGGCCUACCAAGGCGACGAUCUGGAGUGGUUCUGGGAGGGUGAGCCGCCACCCUGGGACGGAGAAACAGCCCAGACUCCUACGGGAGGCAGCAGUGGGGAAUAUUGGACAAUGGGGGGAAGCCUUAUCCAGCCAUGCCGCGUGUGUGAAGAAGUUCUGCGGAUUGUAAAGCACUUUAAGUUGGGAGGAAGGGCAGUAAGUUAAUACCUUGCUGUUUUGACGUUACCGACAAAAUAAGCACCGGCUAACUCUGUGCCAGCAGCCGCCGUAAUAC